rnacentral:rRNA from 1 species
CCUACGGGAGGCAGCAGUGAGGAAUAUUGGUCAAUGGACGAGAGUCUGAACCAGCCAAGUAGCGUGAAGGAUGACUGCCCUAUGGGUUGUAAACUUCUUUUAUAUGGGAAUAAAAUGUUCCACGUGUGGGCUUUUGUAUGUACCAUAUGAAUAAGGAACGGCUAACUCCGUGCCAGCAGCCGCGGUAAUACGGCGGAUCCGAGCGUUAUCCGGAUUUAUUGGGUUUAAAGGGAGCGUAGGUGGAUUGUUAAGUCAGUUGUGAAAGUUUGCGGCUCAACCGUAAAAUUGCAGUUGAAACUGGCAGUGUGGAGUACAGUAGAGGUGGGCGGAAUUCGUGGUGUAGCGGUGAAAUGCUUAGAUAUCACGAAGAACUCCGAUUGCGAAGGCAGCUCACUGGACUGCAACUGACACUGAGGCUCGAAAGUGUGGGUAUCAAACAGGAUUAGAUACCCUGGUAGUC